GAUGGACGCUGGCGGCGUGCUUAACACAUGCAAGUCGAGCGAAGCACUUGAAUUUGAUUCUUCGGAUGAUGAUUCAUUUGACUGAGCGGCGGACGGGUGAGUAACGCGUGGGUAACCUGCCUCAUACAGGGGAUAACAGUUAGAAAUGACUGCUAAUACCGCAUAAGACCACGGUGCCGCAUGGCACAGUGGUAAAAACUCCGGUGGUAUGAGAUGGACCCGCGUCUGAUUAGCUAGUUGGUGGGUAACGGCCUA
rnacentral:rRNA from 1 species